GCUUGCUUGGCCAAGUGGUAAGGCGUCGCACUUGUAAUGCGAAGAUCGCUCGUGUACGUACCUUUUCCCAAUGCCGUGCGUUCGAAUCUCCAUCUAACA